UUGCUAACGCGUGAAAGGCGAGCACUCUAGACGAACUGCCGUUGACAAAACGGAGGAAGGUGGGGAUGACGUCAAAUCAUCAUGCCCCUUAUGUUCUGGGCUACACACGUGCUACAAUGGCCGGUACAGACGGACGCAAAGCCGCGAGGUGGAGCAAAUCCUAAAAAGCCGGUCUCAGUUCGGAUUGCAGGCUGCAAUUCGCCUGCAUGAAGUCGGAAUCGCUAGUAAUCGCAGGUCAGCAUACUGCGGUGAAUACGUUCCCGGGCCUU
rnacentral:rRNA from 1 species